rnacentral:piRNA from 1 species
UUCUAGUUUCAGUACAAAUGUGGCGAUUU